GAUUACUUUUUAAAUUUCCCCAAAUAUUCUGUUGUUCUGAGAAAAUAGUUUAUAAUUCACUCAAGCAAAUAGCCAAUAUUUCAGCAUUUAUUCUCAUUAAAUCUUUUUUUGCUUGUUAUACUUUCAACGCUAUUUCCAUCUCUGUCGAAGAUGUGGCAUUUCUUGUUUCCUCCACUACAAUAUUGCGGUAGCCUGCAUUAUGGUUCGAUUGUAAUGUUUUAACUUGAAAAGUCGAUGUGCAUAUAGGACGGUAGAUAUUUUUGCGACAGAUAGCCUAAGUUACCAUUGUUUCCAUGAAAUGUAGGACUACAUCGAACGGAUACUUUCGUUGUUACCUAACCAUGGCAUAUGCAUUUGGUUACUUGAUGUAGCCUACAUUUGAUUUUGUCUAAUAUUUCAGAGGCUGUAAGUGUAAAGGGUCCAACAAGUGAAUACUUGUGUCUUGGAAGACAAUCUUAUAAUUUCACAUACAUCUCAGUAGGCGACUUGUUCUCUAAACGUUCAAUAUGUUUUAUUAUUUUGUUCUGAGAAUAAUGUACACAUUAUUAUUAUUAUCAAAUGAACAAAUAGUAUAUUACAUUUGAUAAUAACUAGGUUGCAUUAUACCAACGCAGUGGAGAUAAUUACUGGUCCUGUAUGUACAAUUGAGGCUAUAUUGACAUGGAAACAUCUGUAAUUAAACAUUAUUUAUUCAAGAUGUCUUCUAAUAGCUACUCAUGGAGUCCAUGUUCAAGAGCUAGGUCAUCUGAUGACUGAAGGCUCAGUGUCAUUAAGUCAUUUAUUGUUUUGUAGUGUGUGUGUGUGUGUGGCAUCAGAGACAUUAUAUUAUACGUGUGUAAUCCCUAAGGUCUCUCUCCAGUACUGCUAAACAAUAUACCCCUUAUUCAGACACCUCAAGACCUGAAAACAUGCCUGCUGUGUCAUACAAAAACAACUACUGCAGAAAUUUGACUACAUGCAUCACCAUCUCAACUGAAUUUUCUGUGUUUGCAGGAUGCAGGACCUUGCUUGGACAGAUAUAUCAUCUUCUGAAGCCAGAAAAACAUAAAAACGCAGAGAAAUCAUUUGAGUGAGAGAGAUCAGUAGCUGUGUGGGCCUGGACAAGGAGAACAGGAGGAGGAGGAGAAACAGAGAGAAAAAUAGGAAGAGAACGAGAGGAUAGGAUUGAUGCCUGUUUGGAAGCAGUGAAUGAUGAACCAGGGAGCAGGUGAACCCAGCUGUCGAUGGCCAUGGGCUCUCUGGCUCCUCUCUUCCCGUGGCCCUCUGCUCCGUGCCGGGUUCUCAGGGAGCCGGCUGGGGCCAGCCAGGCAGCGGCAGAGUGGGCAGGCGAGCCGAGGCAAGGGGAGGCGAGGCAGGCUCUCAUCCCCGCUAGCAAGAUGCUCCUCAGAAAAGCGGAGCAGCAAAUCAAUAUGGAGGAGAGAGGCUAGCAGAGUUCGCCCAUCACUGCCCCCGGCCCUAGAGCCCAGGGACCCAGCGCUGCCAGCUCUCGCUCUCCUCCUCCUCUAGUAGCAGGACCAGAACCAGCCACUGUAUGGAGCACAUCAGUCAGAUCCUAACCCUCAACCACCCGCUUUCUCUCUAUCUGUGUGUGUGUAAGCAUGUCUGUAUGUGUGGUUCCGCCGUAGGGGCUUUCCUGGUCCAAGACCAUUUGAUAAAACUUUGCCAGCGAGAAAGAGAGAGAAUAAAAAACGGACGUCAAAGCUCUUUUAUUUAUUUUUUCGCUGAUUACUCAUUCUUACUCAUUCCACCUGACUGUUUGAGCGAGAGUUCUUAUAUUGAAUUGAACAGGGCUCUCUCGUCAGUCCCCCUCCAAGCAUGUACUGUACAGUCACUAUGCUCUACACAUCUGAUGAACCAGGAUAAAAGGACAAUUUGAACUUUUUUCUCUCGUCUGCAGAUUCAGAGAAAAUCUUUUUUCGCCUCCAGUUUUCUUCCUCACCCCUCAGGUUACUAUCAGAGGAGGUGGCAGAGGUUAUUGAUCUGUAUGGAGAUGGAAGAGGUGCUGGUUUUGAUACAGUACAGUUCACUGUCUGAUGGUUAUAUAGUAGUGCCUGAUAACCCAUUCACUGUACAGUGGAACUAUAUUCAGGAGUGAACGAGUCCUGAGUGAGAGAUGAAAAGGACGGUGAGCAUAUAGUGCCUGAACAGUGGUCUGAACAGUGGGCCUGAUCACUGGCCUAAACAGUAUCCACUAUUUCAUGUGACUUUUCUCCUCCAUAUUUGAACAAUUCUCUCCCCACAAGGAGCUUUGAAAAGACCUUCUAUACAAGAAGCCCUAUCUUUAGAUACAUAGAAAUAGGAAACAUUUGAUUAAAUAAGAAUGACUUUAAGUGCCUUUUUCUUUUGGAGAAGAAAGGGAUUGAAAACUUCUGGGCUGGAGAGGACAAAGGGGACAGAGAUAGUUUGGACCUGAAACAGGAAUACCUUUACACAGAGAGAUCUACAAACAACACAAUGUUGCAGACUUCACUUGAUGCUGAGGUUACAAUGGAGAUGCAGUGGAAGCAUCAAGCAUCAUGUCCCGUGCAGACCAAACCAGACACACAGAGAAUUAAAGCCGUUCACUGUAAUAAAAGUCAAUACAAAUACCCCACCACAGUCAAGAGGAUUCAGUUCUCCAAACUAUUGAUUAUCACCAAGUGUUUGUGUGGUCAGGUAAGUAGGAGUCUUAACAAGGGAAAGGGACUUUUAUAAGUGGUGGUUGAAAAGUAAUACAUUUUUUUGAAUAGUUUCAUUAGGUCUUAAUGAAAUAUUUUGAAACCAAUUUUAAGGGGAUAUUGGUUGAGAUCCCAAGGGAUCCUUUGCCCGUUUCUAUUUCAGAGUAAAGCUUUUAAAUGUAAAAUCCUUGAUUUGCUCAAGUCUUUGUAUGUGUUUGCACUGCAGCUUCAUUCUCUUACCUACAAUUUUCAUAUCAUUGAUCGCAAUAACUAUUUUUUAUGUAAAAAAUUAAAGACUGCUGCAUGUUUUCAGUGUCUUGUGGUAAAAAAUACAAAUAAAG